GAGCCUUUAUUUAGUACAGACUUUUUCGAGAAGCUUCGAGGGCAUGAAGGGCAAUGAAGUGGUUUAUUGCCGGUGUGGGUGUCGAUUCAAAGUACUCUUUGGGGAGAAGCUUUGAGAUCAUGCAGGACAAUGAAAUCACCUCUUGCAUGUGUGGAUGCGCUCGUGAUUCUUCAGUGUGGACUUGUGUGAGAAGCCCCGAGGGCAUGAAGGGCACUGAUAUGGCCUCUCGCCUGUGUGGGUGCGCAGGUGUUCGUUCAGAUGACUCUUUCGUGAGCAGCUAUGAUGGCAUGCAGGGCACUGAAAUGGCCUCUCGCCUGUGUGGGUGCGCAGGUGUUUGUUCAGAUGACUCUUUCGUGAGCAGCUCUGAGGGCACGAAGGGCACUGAAAUGGCCUUUCGCCUGUGUGGGCACGCAGGUGAUGGUUCAGACUGCCCUUUUG
rnacentral:lncRNA from 1 species